UACGUAGGCAGCGAGCGUUGUUCGGAGUUACUGGGCGUAAAGGGUGUGUAGGCGGUUGUUUAAGUUUGGUGUGAAAUCUCCCGGCUCAACUGGGAGGGUGCGCCGAAUACUGAAUGACUAGAGUGCGGGAGAGGAAAGUGGAAUUCCUGGUGUAGCGGUGAAAUGCGUAGAUAAUCAGGAGGAACACCGGUGGUGUAGACGGCUUUCUGGACCGUAACUGACGCUGAGACACGAAAGCGUGGGUAGCAAACAGG
rnacentral:rRNA from 1 species